rnacentral:rRNA from 1 species
UACGGGGGGAGCAAGCGUUGUUCGGAUUUACUGGGCGUAAAGGGCGCGUAGGCGGCCAGCGCAAGUCAGGUGUGAAAUCUCCGAGCUUAACUCGGAAAGGUCAACUGAUACUGCGCGGCUAGAGUGCAGAAGGGGCAACUGGAAUUCUCGGUGUAGCGGUGAAAUGCGUAGAUAUCGAGAGGAACACCUGCGGCGAAGGCGGGUUGCUGGGCUGACACUGACGCUGAUGCGCGAAAGCCAGGGGAGCGAACGGG